rnacentral:misc_RNA from 1 species
CUGUUUGCAGAGGAGGGCACAUGGGAAAAUGGAGCAGGGAGGGGAGAAAGUUUCCUGCUGCUGGGCAGGAAGAUGAACAGGGAGGGCACUGGAAAAAAAAAUUCUGGGCGUCCAUGGGAGUGGCUGCCGCUGCUUUGUGUAGUAGCUCGACCAGGAACAGAGAGGGGCGAGCUGCAGAGGGGCAUCCAUGGGAAGGAGUCCUCUGCUGGGCGUGCAGUCAAUAGGGAAAAAGAAAAAAAAACGCCAUGGGGAACUAGCAGCAAGGGGCGUCCAUGGAGAAAGAGUUGUUGCGGCAUCGGCCUCUCGCCCUGGAUGGAGCUCGGAUGGGGGAGGAAGAAGCUGGCUGGAGAUGCGGUGCAGGUACUGGCGGCCAUGGGAGAAACUCGAGCUCGCUGCCAUGGGGGAAGCUUCAGCGCGUUGAGGAAGAAGGAGCAGGGGGCGCCAUGGUUGGCUGAGGGGAGGAGCUCGCCAUUUGGAGCAGUGGCAGGGGGCGCCUGUGACUGCCUUGCUGUGGAGGCCGUCAGCCAUGGAAGGCAGAGAGCAGAGGGCAUGCACGCCAAGGAGGAAGAGGGCUGGCGUGGGGAGAAGAAGACAGGGAGGCUAUGGCGGCUGGGAAGAAGUGAGGGGUGGGAGUGA